GGUUGCGUGGCCUAAUGGUAAGGCGCUUGAUUUCGGUUGGAAGAUCAACUUCUUCCCAGCUAAUCUCAAGAGAUUGCGUGUUCGAAUCGCGCCGCAAUCG